CCCUUAGACGUUCUGGGCCGCACGCGCGCUACACUGACCAGUGCAACAAGCAUCCGUCCUUGGCCGACAGGCCCGGGCAAUCUUUGAACGCUGGUCGUGAUGGGGAUAGACUUUUGCAAUUAUUGGUCUUCAACGAGGAAUUCCUAGUAGACGUAGUUCAUCAGACUGCAUCGAUUACGUCCCUGCCCUUUGUACACACCGCCCGUCGCUCCUACCGAUUGAAUGCUCAGGUGAGCCAUUCGGACUUUCAUCAUGCUGGUUUCCAGUUUUGAUGAAGGAAAGUCUUGCGAACCUUAUCAUUUAGAGGAAGGAGAAGUCGUAACA
rnacentral:rRNA from 1 species